GUUAUAUGAGCAAUGGCAAAUUAAAGCAGCGCCAGAUUUAAGAAAUGAGAGGAGCAUUUUCGUGAACUUUUCUUCCAAAUACAGGGGUAAUUUAGAGAGACAGAGCUCGUGACCUAGAAAACAUGCCUCUCUCUGUUGAGUACUCAAUCAUCGAUAAUGGCGUCCUAACUGAUUUCCUUUACAUCAAGGACAACUGUGAACUUGGUCAACGAUGAUGGCAUCAUCCCGGUGGACUUGCUCUACAUCAAAGACAAAUUUGAACUUGGUCAUUGAUGAUGGCAUCCCAAAGGAUUUCCUCUGCAUCAAAGACAACUGUGGACGUGGUCAACGAUGGAAGCAUCCUGACAGAUUUCCUCUACUUCAGAGGCAGCUAAGAUCUCGGGUCAACAAUAAUGGGGUCCCAAAGGAUUUCCUCUAAGCCAAGGACAACUGUGAACUCGGUCAACGAUGAUGACGUCCAACUGGAAUUCCUCUAUAUCAAAGACAGCUGUGAAAUCGAUCAAUGGUCAUGGUUUCCCAGUGGACUUCCUCUACAUCAAAGACUGAACUCGGUCAACAAUGAUGACGUCCCAACAGAUUUCUUCUACGCAAUGAGAAACAUAGCUCAUGGCCUAGAGAAGAUUCCUAUCCCAGUGGCUGUCCUCUACCUUAAAGACAACUGUGAACUUGUUCAAUGGUGACGGCGUCCCAACGGAUUUCUUCUACAGAAAAGACAAUUGUGAACUUGGGUUAUCAAUUAUGGUGACCCAUUGGAUGUCCUGUACACCAAAGACAACUGUGAACUCGGUCAAAGAUGGUGGUAUCCCAGUGGAUGUCCUCUACGCCAAAGACAACUGUAAACAUGGUCAACGGUGAUGGCAUCCCAACGGAUUUCCUCUACAUCAAAGACAACUGUGAACUUGGGUUACAUCAAUGAUGGUGACCCAUUGGAUGUCCUGUACACCAAAGACAACUGUGAACUCGGUCAACGAUGAUGGCAUCAUCCAGUGGACUUGCUCUACAUCAAAGACAAAUUUGAACUUGGACAUCGAUGAUGGCUUCCAAACAGAUUUCCUCUGCAUCAAAGACAACUGUGGACGCGGUCAACAAUGAAAGCAUCCUGACAGAUUUCCUCUACUUCAGAGGCAGCUAAGAUCUCUGGUCAACAAUGAUGGGGUCCCAAAGGAUUUCCUCUAUGCCAAAGACAACUGUGAACUCGGUCAACGAUGAUGACAUCCAACUGGACAGCCUGGACUUCUUCUACAUCAAAGACAGCGGUGAAAUCGAUCAACGGUGAUGGUGUCCCAGUGGACUUCCUCUGCGUCAAAGACAACUGUGAACUCAGUCAACAAUGAUGACGUCCCAACAGAUUUCUUCUACGCAAUGAGAAACAUAGCUCAUGGCCUAGAGAAGACUUGUGUUGAGAACUCAGAUUGAUGAUGGCGUCCCAUUGGCUGUCCUCUAAGUCAAAGACAACUGUGAACUUGGUCAACGGUGAUUGCAUCCCAACGGAUUUCCUCUACAUCAAAGAGAACUGUGAACUUGGGUUAUCAAUGAUGGUGACCCAUUGGAUGUCCUGUACACCAAAGACAAUUGUGAAAUCGGUCAACGAUGGUGGUAUCCCAGUGGAUGUCCUCUACGUCAAAGACAAAGUCUGUGAACUUGGGUUAUCAAUGAUGGUGACCCAUUGGAUGUCCUGUACACCAAAGACAACUGUGAACUCAGUCAACGAUGAUGGUGUCCCAACAGAUUUCCUAUAGAUAUGUCAAGGACGACUUUGAGUUAUCAAGACUGAAUAUUGGCAGGAGUCGUUAACACAUGCAGGAUGGACGUCUAAUGCCAGACUUCAACUACCAGGAGCCUCCUAUGAUCUUUGAAUGUAACAUUGCGUGAAGGUGCUGGAGGAACUGUCGCAAUCGCUUCAUACGGAACGGCAUCAGGAGAGACAUGCAGGUGUUCCAUAGUCCUUCGAUGGGAUGAGCUGUUGGAUGUAGGAUGCAGGAUGUUCCCAGAGGCUCUUUUAUAAAUAUGAAGCCCUACUGCUGAAUGCAAGGCUACCAGAUGGCAAGGAUGGCAACGUCACAUCUUUCUAGAGGCGAUGGAUGGCAACAGAUACAAUGUCUUCAGGAUCAACAGGAGGUUGUGACAGAUAACAAAGAUUGCAUGGAAGGUGCUUUCCUUGUGCUUGUUAUUGAUCCCUUCCAAGAGAACUUCCAGUAUUGCGUUCAAGACCAGGAGGUUUGAGAUCAUGCCUUGCAGCUCCAGAUCAACAAAGCCUGUCGCACACUACACAAUCUUUUAGCGAUCCAAUUUUUGGAGAAAAAAAUGUAAUAGCGUUCAAUCUUAAAAAACUUUAUAACUUAGUUUAUUAACAAAUAUCAAAAUUUCAAUUUCAAUCAACAAUGAGCCUCCUUUGAAGGAAUAAAAGCGAAUUCAAUUCCAAAUUGUAGCGAUGUCAUACAAAUCUUACCAUCAGCUACAAUUUGAAGACAGUUUUGAUUUUACUCAGACAAUACAGCUUGCAGUGAAACAAUAUUGUGUUUUUCAUGUUCCUGGCAUUAUUACAAAUUUCUUCUAAAAUUAUUUUACUUUUUUUAACUUCCAUGUUUAAUGCAAAUAUAUGAUGUUUUAAAAAAUUGGGUCGCAGAUGGAUUACAUAGUGUGCGGUGGUCUUGACAGAACAUCAGAGAUCAAGAUUGAAACCAUGAGACCACGGGGGUGUUUCACAAAGAUGUAAGUAUGACUUAGAGUCGCACUUAAAUGCCGAGUUGCGUGCGGUAUAAAAGGCAUGACUGCAUUGGUCAGAUCAUGCAAAGAUGAUGCACACUACUGCAAAUCAAUCAAUAAGAUUGCGUGUUGCAUAUCUUGUACGCGUCGGUAUUUAAGUGCGACUCCAAGUCAUACUGAAAUCUUUGUGAAACAACCCCAGCUUUCAUAAAGGACAAGUCUACUGCAACGAAAAGUUAAUUUGUAUAAAAAGAAAAAAUCAAACAAGGAUAAUGCUGAAAACUUUACCGAAAUCGGAUGUCAAACAGGAAAGUUGAUACUUAAGUUUUGCUUAAUUUCACAAAACAGUUAUAUGCACAUCCUGGUCGGUAUGCAAUUGAGGAGACUGAUGACAUCACCCCUCAAUAUUUCUUAUUUUAUGAUAUGAGUACGAAAUAUUUUUAUUUUCUCAUUACAAUGUGAAAGAAUGUUUGAAUUCUCCCAGAACAUUGAGAAUUGCCAUUGGUACAACCUAUUUCGAUUCGAUGAAGAGUUUCCUUACAAACACCUGCAAAAAAAUAAAAUAUGGUAUAAUUUGUACAUCAAAAUACAAAAGUAAUAGUGAGUUAGUGACAUGAACUCUUGUGCAGUGUAUAUAACUGUUUUAUGAAAUUAUUUUGUAUCCGAUUUCAAAGGAAUUUCAGCAUUUGGCUUGUUUAAUUUUUGUAUCGCCUGCAUAGCAGAGCCAGACUAAGCACCACUUUUCCGACGGCGGCGGCGUUGUCAACAUUUAAAUCUUAACCAAGGUUAAGUUUUUGAAAUGUCAUCAUAACUUAAAAAGUGUAUGGACCUAGUUCAUGAAACAUGGACUAAGGGCAAUCAAGUAUUACUGAACAUUCUGCUGAGUUUCAGGUGAACAAGGUCAAAGGUCAUUUAGGGUCAAUGUACUUGGACCAUGUUGUGGGGAUGAACAUCGAAAUCUUAACCAAGGUUAAGUUUUUGAAAUGUUGUCAUAACUUUGAAAGUGUAUGGAUCUAGUUCAUGAAUUUUGAACAUAAGGAUAAUGAUAUAACACUGAACAUCCUGAGUUUCAAGUCACAUGGCCAAGGUCAAAGGUCAUCUUGGGUCAACGAACUUUGGCCAUGUUGGGGGUAUUUGUUGAAUUGCCAUCAUAACUGUAAAAUUUUAUGCAUCUAGUUCAUGAAACCCGGACAUACAUGUAAGAGCAAUCAAGUAUCACCAAACAUCCUGUGCGAGUUUCAGGCCACAUGAUCAAGGUCAUAGGUCAUAUAGGGUCAAUGAACUUUGCCCAUUUUGGAGGAAUUCGUUGAAUUGCCAUCAUAACUUUGAAAGUUUAUAGAUCUACAUGUAGCUCAUGAAACUUAAUAGACAUAAGAGUAAUCAAGUAUCAUUGAGCAUCCUCCAUGAGAUUCAGGUCACAUGGCUAAGGUCAAAGGUCAUUUAGAGCCAAUGAACGUAGUAUUUCAUCAUAUAAUUUUUUUUUUUUAAAUAACUAUUCAAUAGUUGUUUUUCAAAGUCAGCACUGCUGCUAUAUUGAAUGACGUAAUGCAGGCGAGACUGCCAGAGGCGCUCCACUUGUUUUCCAUAUUUACCUAAAUCAACUUUUUCUUGGGGUUGACUUGUCCCUUUAAGGGGAAGACCACCCUGACAAAAAGUUUAUCGUAAAAAAUAGCCGAAAAAAUGAUAUGAAAAAUAUUGAAAAAGGUUUUAGAAAAAUCCAUCAAAGAAUAAUAAAAAAGUUUAAUUAUUUGAUUUGUGACGUCACAUGCAAGCGGCUUUCUCCCAUUUUGUAUAUAAAAUCAAUGAAAAUCAAUGAAAUUUAAUUUUCUCCAAAAAUUGAAAAUAGUUUCCACUGUACCUUCAGUAUAUCAUUAGAGAAUUCAUUUCACACCCGUUCCUACAAAGAAAACAGAAAUAAGUCAUCUCGAACCAUUAAAGAAUUGAAAUUAAUGUAUUUUAUUACAUAGCGUAUGGAGCAGCUGCUCGUUUAUUAUUACAAAUCCAAUACUUAAAAUUCUAAUGUCUUCCUCUAUCUCUAAUGGAUUUUCCUCAAAUUUUCACCAAUAUUCUUUAUUAUUUUUUUUCUAUUUUUUAAAACAAACUUUUCUUCAGGGUGAACUUUCCCUUUUAUAAAUGAAGGAACUUUGUCGCCAGAUCAAAGGUCCGAUCACCGUAGGAAAGCCUGUUCAAUCAUUGAAAUUAAUACUCUGCCAAAACAUGUGAGCCAAAAUGACUCAUUUUUAUGCCACCUUGCUGAAAAAAUCUGAAGAUCAAUCAUUCUCUUCUGACAAAUAUUAUGUCAUUUAUUUAUCUGUGUAACUUUGGACAAACAUUCCUUUAAAAAUCAAGGGUGGAUGUUUAAUAUACAUCCACUAUUCUUCAUUGAGGUGGUUUGUUGCAAUAUGUGAACAUACUGAAAAUGGUUGCAGAGUAUUUGUUUCACCAUAAUUGAAUAGGCCUUGAUGGUGAAAUGUAUAUUGGUAUAAUGUUAUGCAUUCAAGUGUACCAUCUAAAAUAUACUUAUUACUAGACCUGUAUUUUAUUGUAACUUGCAUAAGGCUAAAUGUAUAAAAGUUACUUCAAAGAACCUCAAAAUAAGGUAUCCUUACAUCUUUGGCAACCAUUUGGGAUCGCAAAUGAAAUU